rnacentral:rRNA from 1 species
UACGGAGGGAGCUAGCGUUAUUCGGAAUUACUGGGCGUAAAGCGCACGUAGGCGGCUUUGUAAGUCAGAGGUGAAAGCCUGGAGCUCAACUCCAGAACUGCCUUUGAGACUGCAUCGCUUGAAUCCAGGAGAGGUGAGUGGAAUUCCGAGUGUAGAGGUGAAAUUCGUAGAUAUUCGGAAGAACACCAGUGGCGAAGGCGGCUCACUGGACUGGUAUUGACGCUGAGGUGCGAAAGCGUGGGGAGCAAACAGG